rnacentral:lncRNA from 1 species
CCAUCGCUAAUUUAUAUUGCUUGUUGCAUAGCUCACAAAAGAAAACCUUGCGUAUUUCCUUCACCUCCGUUUCAAUUUUGUGCUCGCGUUCUGCUAAAACCUGGAUUUUCAUAAUGUGCAGGAAGCAGGCAGUAGAAGCCACCAGGUAAUAAAAACUGCACGAAAUUCUCAAGAUCUUCCAAAGUUGGUAUUCCCUUAUAUACCAUUCCCGUCAAAAGACACACAUAUAUGCUAUAUGCUGCCUUCUGUUAUUAGAUGUA